UUGAGAAGCAAAGCAGCUAGUAAGCCUGAUCUUUAUUAAAGCUGUUGCAACAGGGUGGUCCCCUCACCCGCACGAGGAGGAGGAGGAAGGACCCAGAACAAUGGCGCGCAAGGCCUUAUAAAGACUUUUGAAAUUGCCACCCUGUAGAUCAAGACCACCCCCAGAAACAUCAUACAUACAUCACAGAAGGGGUGUAACCUAAGACCACCACCCCCAGAUACAUCACACCUACAUCACAGAAAAGGCGGUCUAAAACAGAAAUUUGAAUGUUGUUUUUCUCCUGUCCUUGUUUAUCUCCUGUCUGGCAGGUUACUUGAUUGGAUUGCCUGGGGAGCCUGGCCAUUCUUUUGUAGUGAUAAAUGCUUAGUUCCUGGGCCAGGUCACAAGCUCACACCCUAUUCAUAUCUUAAA